CUGCCAGGUCUGAGGGAUUUGCUGUUUUUCAGGACAUCUGAGCUGCAAUCUCUUUCGAGCUGUCUAGCAGUCUCCGUCUCGCUCUCUCUCACUCUCUCAGCAUGAUGGAGAUAGAGUUGAAAGGUGGAGCCCGAUUUUGCAUUCCAGCUGUGAUUAAAGACACAGGCACACAUCCUGGGAGAUAAUGCGCUGCAUAUUCAUUAUGCUAUCUAGAACCUCUUUAGCUACUGGGACACGACUGUCAUACAAUUACAAUAUGCCUUCUCCAGGAGUAAAGGGGGGGUUGGGAUGGAGAAGAUCAGAGAACAACAGAGACGGAGAAUAUGAAGAAUUAAGAUGCAUGAGACGUAUCUUGUAAUAAAGAUAUGGAGCGAUAUUAAAACUAGCAGUUGUAUCCAUUUCAUGGCAACAUGUCAAGAUGACUUAACAGAGAAGGAUAAAACAUCUGGCCUGGGGGGAAAAAAUACAUGAUGUCGAAUUUCCAAAUCAUAACGUGGACUCUGUGGAAGAAAAACAACAGAUAAGCAACUGUGUACCUUCCCAAUAAGUGAAAGCAUGUGGAAAUUUUCCUUAUACUCUGCAAUCAGAAAAAGCAGAGCCAUCUCAUCAGGUGGAGAUGGAGACAAAUGCAGUGCCCAGAGAUGCCUUAGACCAGUGUCACUUCUCCACGGGAGAUUCAGACUUGGCACUGCCCUAUCAUGGGACACUUGGGAUCAACAUUUAGAUGCUUGAUAUGAGUGGAAGGAAUCUGCAACAUUCUUUUGUGAGACUCGGAAUCUCAUCAAGAAUGUAUCUGACUACACGGAAAACUGAUUUUCUUUUGGCUCCUAAAUGACAAGCCUUCAUUAUGCAAUGAGCACGUCCCUGGAGAAAGCAUUCUCUACACACCGAUAGAGAGAAGUUGGGGCAGAGAUGGAAGGAGGAGGCUCUCCCUUCUUUGGGGCCAGAAGAGGGUUCAGAAAUCCCGUUUCUACUCCUGAAAGAAACGCAUUUAUUUCUCUCAACCCCAAUAGGUCCAGGAAAAGGAAAGCAGAGUCACUGACAGUGAUACUGGAAUCCCUCCUUGUUUGAUUUGGCCACAAGUUCUUCUGUAGCUAUUGUUUGCCGUGUGUUCAGGCACAAGUUGCCAUGGUCAAUGGAAGGAAAUACAAAGAUACAGAGUGAAGCAAAAGAUAAAGUAAUGUUCACUGAGCGCCUACUAUCCAGGCUAGGUGCAUCUGACGAUCUCUUUUAAUCCUCACAGAUACCCUAUGAGGUAGAGAUUCUAAUACCCAUUUUACAGAUGAUGAAACUAAAGCUCUAAGAUUUGCCCAUGAUCUGAUAACUGACUGGUAGGUGGUAGGAUGGAGAAUAAACUCAGAUCCAUCUGUCUG